CGUCUAUUAUAUCCACCUCAUAUCUCACUCCAUCAAACAUUCACCAAAACACCCAAAACCAAACCUUCAUCUGCCGUUUUCACCUUCACAAACCACCAACAGUAAAUCAAUCACCCACAUAACACUGUCAAACCUCCGUCAAUAACCCACAAAAUCCUUUCUCCGAUGCAUACAAACCGUAUUUCCAUCACCAUCCUCCAAUAACCGAUCCAACCACCUUACUAACCACUGUUAGUUUCAAAUUUUUAUUUUAUUAUUGUAUUUUAUAUUUUAUUCUAU
rnacentral:lncRNA from 1 species